rnacentral:rRNA from 1 species
CACGUAGGGUGCGAGCGUUGUCCGGAAUUAUUGGGCGUAAAGAGCUCGUAGGCGGCUUGUCACGUCGGGUGUGAAAGCCCGGGGCUUAACCCCGGGUCUGCAUUCGAUACGGGCUAGCUAGAGUGUGGUAGGGGAGAUCGGAAUUCCUGGUGUAGCGGUGAAAUGCGCAGAUAUCAGGAGGAACACCGGUGGCGAAGGCGGGUCUCUGGGCCGAUACUGACGCUGAGGAGCGAAAGCGUGGGGAGCGAACAGG